UACAGAACUGCCGGCGUCCUCCAAAGCACAGAUCAAACGGCUGUUCACCAGGACGAAGCAGUGCAUGUCCACCCUCUAUAGCAGCAAAGGCCUCCUCAGCAUAUCGCUAUUCCUUCUGUACAAAGAAGGGGACCGGGAAGAUGAUCUUGAUACAUAAGAGGAGUUGGAGGGAGAGCGGGACCUGCCCCUUGACCGGCUCCAUUUAGUGGAAGAAGAGCUGGAAUUCCGUGAGCGACAUCUAGGAUGAAGGAGGAGACACAAACAUGCUCACCUAUGAGAUCGGUAUCUACCCACAGCUGUUUUUCUGGGUUGACUGUAAAUUGUACAACAUGUUUGUCAUCUUAAGGAGUGUUUGGAAGUGAGAGGUUUCUGCUGAACCUCCUGAGGUUGCUGUAAUAUUGAUUCUCCUGAAUCUCGGCAAGGGGAUGCAGCUGGUGACAGCAGUACAGAGCAUGGAUCAUCACUGCCCCUACUCAUGGACCUUGGAAUAGUAGUCCAGUGGUCCAACACCUCUUUGCAUGGACGUAUAAGGCUGGUCUCCAACAAUGAAAGACCCUGACUCACUCCUAGGCAAGAAAUUUCCUGAUUUUUCCAUUUUAGAAGUGUUCAAAUUACCUCCCAACAAAGGGAUUUUACCUGCAACAUUGAUAAGCUCUGGUGCGUGAAGCCGGUCCAUCAUUGUCUUUUCCCACUGUGCCUCAAACCUGAAAGAGGAAAAAAAGCUUCCACCAGAGUUCUCAACAGUCCUCUACCUAGCAUACAAAGCACCAAAAACAAAAGGGCUUUACAGCAGCCCAUUCUAGCCCAUGUUGCCAUGAUGAAGAAUGCACAAAGCAAUUCAGAAGCAAGUCAUCUCUAAGCACACAGAAUAUACCACACCUCAGU